rnacentral:rRNA from 1 species
GCAAGUCGAACGGUAACAGGCCGCAAGGUGCUGACGAGUGGCGAACGGGUGAGUAAUGCAUCGGAACGUGCCCAGUCGUGGGGGAUAACGCAGCGAAAGCUGCGCUAAUACCGCAUACGAUCUAUGGAUGAAAGCGGGGGACCGUAAGGCCUCGCGCGAUUGGAGCGGCCGAUGUCAGAUUAGGUAGUUGGUGGGGUAAAGGCUCACCAAGCCAACGAUCUGUAGCUGGUCUGAGAGGACGACCAGCCACACUGGAACUGAGACACGGUCCAGACUCCUACGGGAGGCAGCAGUGGGGAAUUUUGGACAAUGGGCGCAAGCCUGAUCCAGCAAUGCCGCGUGCAGGAAGAAGGCCUUCGGGUUGUAAACUGCUUUUGUACGGAACGAAACGGUCUGAGUUAAUACCUCGGGCUAAUGACGGUACCGUAAGAAUAAGCUCCGGCUAACUACGUGCCAGCAGCCGCGGUAAUACGUAGGGUGCAAGCGUUAAUCGGAAUUACUGGGCGUAAAGCGUGCGCAGGCGGUGAUGUAAGACAGUCGUGAAAUCCCCGGGCUCAACCUGGGAAUUGCGAUUGUGACUGCAUCGCUGGAGUGCGGCAGAGGGGGAUGGAAUUCCGCGUGUAGCAGUGAAAUGCGUAGAUAUGCGGAGGAACACCGAUGGCGAAGGCAAUCCCCUGGGCCUGCACUGACGCUCAUGCACGAAAGCGUGGGGAGCAAACAGGAUUAGAUACCCUGGUAGUCCACGCCCUAAACGAUGUCAACUGGUUGUUGGGUCUCUUCUGACUCAGUAACGAAGCUAACGCGUGAAGUUGACCGCCUGGGGAGUACGGCCGCAAGGUUGAAAACUCAAGGAAUUGACGGGGA